UAAAGUCAAUUUGAGGGGCUUACUCAUCGUUUCCUUUACAGACAACUUCCACUGGUACUGAGUCAGCUCCUGGCUUGUGGAGCAUAGCUAAGGAAGAGAUAUCUGGAGAGAGUUGUCAAGGAGCUGUAGCUGGACUAUCCUUGUACCCUGGUGAUCUUUAGCUGCCGCAACAUUCCCUUACAGUCUUUAAUGCAUAAGCCCUGGUAGUGAGUGAGAACCCAGGCCAAUCAUUACAGCCAGUUCCCUGGAGCCUUGGGAAAGACGAUGACCCGGAGGAAGGAACAUCCUGAGCAACAUGGCUGCCAACCACCCCCCCCCCCCCCCGCACCAGGGAAAGAAGAGGUAGGACCAGUGGACUAUGAGAUAAGACUACCUGGAAGGGGAAAAGAAACUAAGAUCCAUCAUAUGAAACUUCUUAUAGAGUGGAAGAUGCAGGAGGCCCUGCUGAUAACUCCCUCUCUGAUAGAACCUGAAUUAGGCCCCCAAGUACCCAGUUGUCAAGAGCUGACAACAAUACUGGGGGGAAGAGGGCUCUCUCUUGUGCAAAGGAAGCAGCUCAUCCAAAUGAUUGAGGACUUUGUGACUGUAUUCUCCACCCACCUAGGGAGAACUCAGUUUUGUUCAACAUCCUAGAGACAACCCUAGGCCAACUAGUCAGGGAGAACCCUAGAACACUGCCCACAAGGGAUGUGGGAUACAGUCCAAGAGGAAGUGCAAGUGAUGCUAGAGAUGGGGGCAAUUGUAGAAUUCAAAAGUGAAUGGAGAAGCCCUAUAGUUAUCAUUCCCAAACUGGACAGUUCAAUUUGAUUUUGCAUUGACCUUGUGAGGGUUAAUUCCAUCUCAAAAUUUGAUGCCUACCCAAUGCCAAGGGUAGAAAAGUUACUAGAGUGGCUGGGACUGGUGAAGAACCUG